CCUACGGGUGGCAGCAGUGGGGAAUAUUGCACAAUGGGGGAAACCCUGAUGCAGCGACGCCGCGUGAGUGAAGAAGUAUUUCGGUUCGUAAAGCUCUAUCAUCAGGGAAGAUAAAAAGUCCUUUUGACUUUGAACGAUACCUGACCAAGGAGCCACGGCUAACUACAUGCCAGCAGCCGCGGUAAUACGUAGGGGGCAAGCGUUAUCCGGAUUUACUGGGUGUAAAGGGAGCGUAGACGGGAGAGCAAGUCGGGAGUGAAAUGCCUGGGCCUAACCACAGAACUGCUUUGGAAACUGUGCAGCUGGAGUGCAGGAGAGGUAGGCGGAAUUCCUGGUGUAGCGGUAAAAUGCGUAGAUAUUAAGAGGAACACUAGUGGCGAAGGCGGCUUACUGGAAUGUAACUGACGUUGAGGCUCGAAAGCGUGGGGAGCAAACAGGAUUAGAUACCCGAGUAGUC
rnacentral:rRNA from 1 species